GAUGAACGCUGGCGGCGUGCCUAAUACAUGCAAGUCGAGCGAACAGACGAGGAGCUUGCUCCUCUGACGUUAGCGGCGGACGGGUGAGUAACACGUGGAUAACCUACCUAUAAGACUGGGAUAACUUCGGGAAACCGGAGCUAAUAACGGAUAAUAUAUUGAACCGCAUGGUUCAAUAGUGAAAGACGGUUUUGCUGUCACUUAUAGAUGGAUCCGCGCCGCAUUAGCUAGUUGGUGAGGUAACGGCUUACCAAGGCAACGAUGGGUAGCCGACCUGAGAGGGGGAGCGGCCGCGCUGGAACGAGAGGACGAUCAGGCAUCCUACGGGGGGGAGACGGAGGAGAUCUCCCCGGGAGGGCGAAGGCCUGACGAAUGGACGCCGGGCGAGUGAUGGAGGCAGCCGGGCCGUAUGACUCAUUAAUUAGGGAGGGAAGAAUGGCUAAGUAACUUGGGACGUCUUUGAGGGUACUGGGAGAAGAAGCACGGGCUACCUCCGG
rnacentral:rRNA from 1 species